UGUGCGGUCUGGGUUUUUGCUUGGCUAGCUUGGUUUUUUGUUAGCUUAGGCAAGAAGGUUUUUUCCCCCUUCCCCGGCCUCGGAGAGGCUGCAGCAGCAAUCUUUCGGUGGCUUUUCAGAAUGAACUGGACGGUUUGGUUUUGGUCCGAGAUCAGAGAGGACGGCCGGCGGGGGGAGGAGUCGGCUGGGACCAGCGGGAAAGGUGAGGGGCCACUCCGUUUCGGCCUCACGUCUGGGAAAAAGCCGAGCUGAUGCUCACUGUGGGUCAGCAGCCCAGACCCAGUCAAGGACUCAGUGGCUAGACUGGAUGAUGUGAAGGUUUCUGUCUCUCUCCACUGAAAAGUGGGUUAUGGAGUGAGAGUGAGCGUAGAGUGCUGGACAACAUGGAGCUGCAGAGCUGAUCAGCUGGAACUGAAUGUGCAGCAUUGUUUGGGAGCCUCACUGUACCUUUAGACUCCACUGCCUUCUGUCUAGAGACAUUGCUGAAGCAUUAGGAAGCCACAAGACCCAGCCCAACUCAUUCCAGCCACUCCAAGCAGCAAAAAUACAGUUCACGGGCUCUUAGUGUCCUGCUGUAGCUGUGGCCUCAUGGUGCAUACCCUUGCCAAGGCCAGUGGCACUGUGAACGUCUCACACUGGGAGGGCCGUUCAUGGAAAGGGCAGCAGUGGGAGGCAGAAAUGGCGCUACAGACAUGACAAGGGUGAUUUUAAGCCACUGCAGGUGCCCCUGGAUGGGUGGAAGUUGUGCGGUCUGCGGCACAGCUGAGCCUCCACCACUUUGCUAUCAUUUUUGAUAUAGCCAAAGCUUUCUCCUAUACGUCAAAUUAAUUGUAUGACUCGUAUCUCCUACUUUACAUCCCUUUUCGACCAAGUCAUGCCCAAAUCUGGUUGCUGGUCUCAGGUUGAGGGACAACUGAGGCACACAACUUUCCUCUUUAAUCUCUGUACUGGGAAGUCUUGUCAAACCAGGGCCUGAGAUGAGAUGGACUUCAUGCUUUGCUCUCAACAUCUCAUCAGCUUUUCAGCUGUGAGGGGUGUGUGAAAGUCACAAAUCAGGAAUCCUCCAAUGUCACCAAGUCAAACUCCCUUCAGUCUCCACUGAAAGAAAUAAGCUCAUGUGAUGCAGAUUGUCUUGGGUUGCAGUGUAUUCCAUUACCAUCCUCAUGAGCUGUUGAAAUCAGGUGGGGCAGUGUUUCCUUGC